ACAUGCAGUCGAGCGGACAGAUGGGAGCUUGCUCCCUGAUGUUAGCGGCGGACGGGUGAGUAACACGUGGGUAACCUGCCUGUAAGACUGGGAUAACUCCGGGAAACCGGGGCUAAUACCGGAUGCUUGUUUGAACCGCAUGGUUCAAACAUAAAAGGUGGCUUCGGCUACCACUUACAGAUGGACCCGCGGCGCAUUAGCUAGUUGGUGAGGUAACGGCUCACCAAGGCGACGAUGCGUAGCCGACCUGAGAGGGUGAUCGGCCACACUGGGACUGAGACACGGCCCAGACUCCUACGGGAGGCAGCAGUAGGGAAUCUUCCGCAAUGGACGAAAGUCUGACGGAGCAACGCCGCGUGAGUGAUGAAGGUUUUCGGAUCGUAAAGCUCUGUUGUUAGGGAAGAACAAGUGCCGUUCAAAUAGGGCGGCACCUUGACGGUACCUAACCAGAAAGCCACGGCUAACUACGUGCCAGCAGCCGCGGUAAUACGUAGGUGGCAAGCGUUGUCCGGAAUUAUUGGGCGUAAAGGGCUCGCAGGCGGUUUCUUAAGUCUGAUGUGAAAGCCCCCGGCUCAACCGGGGAGGGUCAUUGGAAACUGGGGAACUUGAGUGCAGAAGAGGAGAGUGGAAUUCCACGUGUAGCGGUGAAAUGCGUAGAGAUGUGGAGGAACACCAGUGGCGAAGGCGACUCUCUGGUCUGUAACUGACGCUGAGGAGCGAAAGCGUGGGGAGCGAACAGGAUUAGAUACCCUGGUAGUCCACGCCGUAAACGAUGAGUGCUAAGUGUUAGGGGGUUUCCGCCCCUUAGUGCUGCAGCUAACGCAUUAAGCACUCCGCCUGGGGAGUACGGUCGCAAGACUGAAACUCAAAGGAAUUGACGGGGGCCCGCACAAGCGGUGGAGCAUGUGGUUUAAUUCGAAGCAACGCGAAGAACCUUACCAGGUCUUGACAUCCUCUGACAAUCCUAGAGAUAGGACGUCCCCUUGGGGGCAGAAUGACAGGUGGGUGCAUGGGUUGUCGUCAGCUCCUGGCCGUGAGAUGUUGGGGUUAAGUCCC
rnacentral:rRNA from 1 species